rnacentral:rRNA from 1 species
ACUCAAAGGAAUAGACGGGGGCCCGCACAAGCGGUGGAGCAUGUGGUUCAAUUCGACGCAACGCGAAGAACCUUACCUGGGCUCGAACGGCUUCGGACCGUCUGUAGAAAUAUGGACUUCCCGCAAGGGACCGGAGUCGAGGUGCUGCAUGGCUGUCGUCAGCUCGUGUCGUGAGAUGUUGGGUUAAGUCCCGCAACGAGCGCAACCCUUGUCCUGUGUUGCCAUCAUUUAGUUGGGCACUCUCAGGAGACCGCCAGCGAUAAGUUGGAGGAAGGUGGGGAUGAUGUCAAGUCAUCAUGGCCUUUAUGUCCAGGGCUACACACGUGCUACAAUGGACGGUACAAACCGCUGCAAACCCGCGAGGGGGAGCUAAUCGGAAAAAACCGUUCUCAGUUCGGAUCGCAGGCUGCAACUCGCCUGCGUGAAGCUGGAAUCGCUAGUAAUGGCGUAUCAGAACGACGCCGUGAAUACGUUCCCGGGCCUUGUACACACCGCCCGU